GUAGGUGGCAAGCGUUGUCCGGAAUUAUUGGGCGUAAAGCGCGCGCAGGCGGUCCUUUAAGUCUGAUGUGAAAGCCCACGGCUCAACCGCGGAGGGUCAUUGGAAACUGGGGGACUUGAGUACAGAAGAGGAAAGCGGAAUUCCAAGUGUAGCGGUGAAAUGCGUAGAGAUUUGGAGGAACACCAGUGGCGAAGGCGGCUUUCUGGUCUGUAACUGACGCUGAGGCGCGAAAGCGUGGGGAGCAAACAGGAUUAGAUACCCUGGUAGUCCACGCCGUAAACGAUGAGUGCUAAGUGUUAGGGGGUUUCCCGCCCCCUUAGUGCUGCAGCUAACGCAUUAAGCACUCCGCCUGGGGAGUACGGCCGCAAGGCUG
rnacentral:rRNA from 1 species